rnacentral:rRNA from 1 species
UACGAAGGGGGCUAGCGUUGCUCGGAAUCACUGGGCGCAAAGGGUGCGUAGGCGGGUCUUUAAGUCAGGGGGGAAAUCCUGGAGCUCAACUCCAGAACUGCCUUUGAUACUGAGGAUCUUGAGUUCGGGAGAGGUGAGUGGAACUGCGAGUGUAGAGGUGAAAUUCGUAGAUAUUCGCAAGAACACCAGUGGCGAAGGCGGCUCACUGGCCCGAUACUGACGCUGAGGCACGAAAGCGUGGGGAGCAAACAGG